rnacentral:rRNA from 1 species
AGCCUUCUGUAAAAAUAUAAAAGGUGAAACCUGCCCAGUGACUCACGAGUUUAACGGCCGCGGUACCCUGACCGUGCUAAGGUAGCAUAUAAUCUGCCCUUUAAUUGUGGGCUAGAAUGAAUGGACAAACGAAAAUCAAGCUGUCUCCAAAAUACAAUAAUAAAUUUACCUCUAAGUGAAGAGGCUUAGAUCCACUUAAAAGACAAAAAGACCCCGUAGAGCUUUACUAUUACCAAAUCAAUAAAGAAUAAUAUAUACCUUUAUUUAUAAACCUAUGUAGUUUAACUGGGGCGGUUGAAGAGCAAUUAAUACCCUCUUCUUUAAUUUAAGACCCUUCGAUUCUUGAUCCUCUACUGAUUAAAUAAACAAGCUACCUCGGGGAUAACAGGCUAAUAUCUUUUAAGAGUACAUAUCGAAAAAGAAGUUUGGCACCUCGAUGUUGGCUUAGAGGACCCUAGAAGUAGCAGAAGCUUCUAAAGGCAGGUUUGUUCAACCUUUAAACCUCU